rnacentral:rRNA from 1 species
GAUGAACGCUGGCGGCGUGCUUAACACAUGCAAGUCGAACGAUGAAGCCAGCUUGCUGGUGGAUUAGUGGCGAACGGGUGAGUAACACGUGAGUAACCUGCCCUUAACUCUGGGAUAAGCCUGGGAAACUGGGUCUAAUACCGGAUAUGACUUCCCAUCGCAUGGUGGGGGGUGGAAAGCUUUUGUGGUUUUGGAUGGACUCGCGGCCUAUCAGCUUGUUGGUGAGGUAAUGGCUCACCAAGGCGACGACGGGUAGCCGGCCGGUGAGGGUGACCGGCCACACUGGGACUGAGACACGGCCCAGACUCCUACGGGAGGCAGCAGUGGGGAAUAUUGCACAAUGGGCGGAAGCCUGAUGCAGCGACGCCGCGUGAGGGAUGACGGCCUUCGGGUUGUAAACCUCUUUCAGUAGGGAAGAAGCGUAAGUGACGGUACCUGCAGAAGAAGCGCCGGCUAACUACGUGCCAGCAGCCGCAGUAA